rnacentral:rRNA from 1 species
GUGCACGCUGGCGGUAGGCCUAACACAUGCAAGUCGAACGGCAGCACAGGAGAGCUUGCUCUCUAGGUGGCGAGUGGCGGACGGGUGAGUAAUACAUCGGAAUCUGCCCAGUCGUGGGGGAUAACGUAGGGAAACUUACGCUAAUACCGCAUACGACCUUCGGGUGAAAGAGGGGGAUCGCAAGACCUCUCGCGAUUGGAUGAGCCGAUGUCGGAUUAGCUAGUUAGCGGGGUAAUGGCCCACCAAGGCGACGAUCCGUAGCUGGUCUGAGAGGAUGAUCAGCCACACUGGAACUGAGACACGGUCCAGACUCCUACGGGAGGCAGCAGUGGGGAAUAUUGGACAAUGGGCGCAAGCCUGAUCCAGCCAUACCGCGUGGGUGAAGAAGGCCUUCGGGUUGUAAAGCCCUUUUGUUGGGAAAGAAAUCUUUCAGGCUAAUACCCUGGGAGGAUGACGGUACCCAAAGAAUAAGCACCGGCUAACUUCGUG